UACAGAGGGUGCAAACGUUGUUCGGAAUUACUGGGCGUAAAGCGUGUGUAGGCGGCUUUGUAAGUUAGAGGUGAAAGCCUGGAGCUCAACUCCAGAAUUGCCUUUAAGACUGCAUCGCUCGAAUCCGGGAGAGGUGAGUGGAAUUCCGAGUGUAGAGGUGAAAUUCGUAGAUAUUCGGAAUAACACCAGUGGCGAAGGCGGCUCACUGGACCGGCAUUGACGCUGAGGUGCGAAAGCGUGGGGAGCAAACAGG
rnacentral:rRNA from 1 species